rnacentral:rRNA from 1 species
AGGACGAACGCUGGCGGCGUGCUUAACACAUGCAAGUCGAGCGGUAAGGCCUUUCGGGAUACACGAGCGGCGAACGGGUGAGUAACACGUGGGUGAUCUGCCCUGCACUUCGGGAUAAGCCUGGGAAACUGGGUCUAAUACCGGAUAUGACCUCCUAUCGCAUGGUGGGUGGUGGAAAGAUUUAUCGGUGCAGGAUGGGCCCGCGGCCUAUCAGUCUUGUUGGUGGGUAAUGGCCUACCAAGGCGACGACGGGUAGCCGACCUGACGAGGGUGACCGGCCAC